UAAUUUCUUCAGAACCCGCACUCAGCUUCGCCAUCUCUCUUCCAUCUCUGCUCUUUUCGAUCUCUGCUUCGCGCUCUUCAAUCUUUGGUCCUUCGUCAGUGAGCGUUGGGAGGGUUUCAAGGAUUUCUGGUGCGAACGAUUCUCCUUCCUCACCAACUACUCCAAGUUCGUUAAGCAGGACAAGCCCCUUCCUCCCUGGUCCUACUCUGACGUCGAAGCCUUCAUUGCUCUUGACCCUGUUCAUGGCCCCGCUGUAAUUUCCUGCCCUUCUGUUUUUUUAUCCAUUCUUUUCAGUUUAUAAGUGUUAAUGGUAAAUGGGUUUCUUUGAUUUCGUGUUUUUGUGACCUCUGUGGACCUGGGUGUUUGUAUUUUUGUUUUCCUUUUGAUAUUUUUCCUGUUUUGUCAUCUGGGUAUUUGUUUAUGUUUCUCCUUGAUUUAAUUGUUGAGCUGUGCCCCUUUCUGUCAUUGAUGUUCGAGUGCUCAAUCUCUUGGUCGAGGUCACUUGGGUGUGUCUAAUUUCGGGAUAUGAAGGUUUUGUAUUUUCUGUUUAUCCUCCUCCUUUACCCGAACGAGAAAUCUGAAAUCAACAACCCAAAACUCACUCAUGGUAGCCCUUGGCUUGCCGCAUUCCUCGUAUCCUGGUGGUUCAUUCUCUCCAUUCGAUUCAAUUUCGGUGAGUUCUUCGUUGAUCCUUUCCCAAUUUGGUUUUUUUGGACGUCUUCAGACGUGGUUUUGAUUUCGGUGAGUUCUGGGUUAUUGCUUUUGGCUUCUGGGUUUUUAUUUUUCGGCUGUUUGAUGAAUCUCUGUGUGAGAUUUUGGGGGGUUUUUUAGUUACUUUGUAUUUGGGGUUUUGGGUAAGCAAAGAAACUAAAAGAAUUCAGUUUUAAUGAUCAAAUCAGUUUCUUUUAAGAGUUCUGAUUAGUAGUUUGGAUGGCUUAUACAUAUAAAUAUACAACCCAUAUUGUUAAUUGUAUGUAAGAAUUGACUCAAGACUGGAAAAAUAUGAACUUAUCAAUGAACUCCUUCAAUUCAAUUCUUUUAUGAAUGGGUUAUCUUAUACCACCUGUUUGUGGAUGAGAUCGUCUACCAAAAGAGUAGGGAGUGCAAACCAGAAGGAUGAAUUAAAGGAGUUUGUCAAGGAGAAAGUUUGUGAACAAAAAAACAUCUAAUCGAGAGUUUGAUCGGAUCCAGUUGUUGGAUAAUCCCUGAAGUAACAAGAAGGAACUGACUACUGGGAUUUUUUUUAGCAAACAUUUGCAGUUUUGUCCAGAGUGCACGGUUUGGUUGUCUGCAUGUGGAAGAGGCUGCGAGGAAAGGAUUAUGCUGGAUGUUGCACUGAUCUUGCUCUUAGUUUUCCAGGUGCAACCCAGGCUCUUCUACAAAGCUGUCUCACUUUUGGGGCGUUCUCAUUUGUUAUUGAAGCCCUAAACAAGCAGCAGCCGGCUUUAGCACAACCAUUUUCUGUGAGGAAGAAAAGUGAGCAAGUUCGUCCCUUGGUGCUCCCCCUUCAACUUUCACUCACGGGAGAACUAAAAGCGGGUUUCACCUUUUGCAAUUCCUUGAAGAAUCGCAAGAAGGGCACUUCUCACCAGCCUAAGAAAGGUUGUUCCAAAAAGGCAGCACAGCUUGGACCUCUUUACGAGAAUUCAGGGUUUUUGCUCGCCAGACAAUGAUAGGCGAAUCACCACAAGCAGCAGUAAUUAUGCUGCAAACUGAAUUCAGGAUGACUAACCUGGAGUCUUCAUGGUGGUCGCACCUCUCCUCAUCUCUGCUCCUCCUCCAAAACCCUUCUUCCAGGACCUAGGAAACAAGUAGCAAUGCAGAGGCCCUGUUGGAGAGAUUGUGGACCUCUGUUAAAUCACAGUCCAGUGAAGGGAUUAGCCUGUCCGACUUUGUGUUUUAGAUGAAUCCGUUUCGGAUUGGGAGAAAAUUUAAACCCAGAAAAAGUUGGGUUUCCUGGUGAAUUGUCCGGCAAAUUUCAGGUCGGCAACGAACAGAUUGAUCACAUCAUGAGUUUUCCGACUGAUUUAUUCAAUCCUAUCAGUUCUGAUUGCCCCUCCAUAACAUUUGCAGCACCAUCUGCCUUGCUCUCAGCAUAGCUUGGCUUUCAGUUCCUCAGGGGGAAUGGUGGAUGUGAGAGUUUCUUUUACAACAAUUCAAAGGGAAGAGCUUGAGAGACAGUAGACUCUUCCCCUAUUCCUCCACAUUCACUUUUACCAAUUUUUCCAAGAACACAUUAAAUUCCCUCAAAAUAUAAGCUGAGGUAUGAAAAAGCUUCAAAUUCCUUGGUUUCCUCCAAUUAGUAUGCAGAACUCUCAAAAAAAAAGAAGAAGUGAGGGUUGAAUGUCUACCCUCAUAUACACACAGAGAGAUAUGGAAAAAUUUAGAAUGGUGAAGUGAGGGUUCAAUGACUUAUUACUCAUUUGGUUCUAUUUAAAUAAAGUUCGCUGAUUGGGUUGAUUUGUGUUGUGUACAUAUACAUCUUGGGUUUUUUUUAUGGACUUAUUUAUUUCUGUAUCGAUUGCUGACAUAAUGGAUAGGGUGCCAAAGAGAAAGGUGGCAUUAGGAAUAAUGGCUUUUUGAUAGAAGUAGAGUUUGAUCUCUUCAUUUGGGUUGUGCAUAUUUCGUUUGAUCUCUUAUUUUGGGUUGUGUAGAUUUCGUUUGAAUUAAUUUGGGUUGCCAUUUGUAAUUCUCUGUUUUUUCACUCAAACAUUGUUUAUGAAAAUUGAAGCUAUAAAAUAUUUCAUAUGAUUUUCAAUCCCGCAGUAUUGCGUGGGUACAAGUUUCUAGUUUAUAUAUACUAAAACUGAGUUUUAGGAUGGCACUAUUGAUCUAUAGUGUGCGGACGGAUUUGCCCCUCAUUUUCUUUAGUGUUCUCUGAUUUUGGUGGGAUUGUGCAAUGAAUUGGCCAUUUUGCCAUUAAUCAUACCUGCUGCGCGUGCCUGCUGCCCGUGUGGCUUUCGUGUUUUGUGGGAAAGAUGCUGGAACCCUUUCCUCUUCUUUUCUCCUCUCUCUCUCCCGUCUGUGUUUUGCCUUUUUCGAUCUCUCUAUUUCUUUCGUUUCGAUUCUGAUCUGAUCGUUGAGUGAUCAGUAUUGGCAGGCGCAAGGACACGGUGGAUCUGCAGGUAAAAGUUCUUCUCUGUACAAUAGUUACGAACUACAGUUUGUGUUUGGAUGGCUGUGAUUCAUGUUACAUGAUCUUGGUGAUUCAAUGUUUUAGAUUGGAUUUUUGUGGUUUUGAAUUUGUGGGUUUUUUUUUUUUUUUUUUUUUUUGCUCUGUACAACUUUUGUAAAAGUGAAGUGUUCAUUUUCAAUUUUGAGAUUGAAUUGAAGUGUGUAGAAUUUAAUUCAAGCAGAUUUGGUUUGGUUUCAUUACAUUUGAUUGUUUGAUCUUUACUGCUAGAGUAUUAGAUGAAAUCAAAAUUUAGUUUAGAGAUUGGAGUGAUGGAUUAUAUUAAUUUCCUGGCAAAAUUCAUGUUUUUAUCAUUAUUAAAGUAAAUACAUAGACUUGAUGCAAAAUUUGGAUUCUUCAGAGGAGCAGAUUAUAGUUUUUCAGUUUGAUUUAUAGUUUUGUUUAAUUAGGAAUAUAGUGAAAAUGAAAAUGAACAAAAAAGGGUUAGUGAGAAAAUGACAAGUUUUCUUUGUGUUUAUUACAAAAUUAGUAAGUUGAAAAUUUUGAGAGUAUAUUGCUUCUUGGAGCAGGUAUUGUUUCGAGAGUGUGAAUCCCAUGUCGGGAAUUGAAGUGUUACGUAAAUAGUUUGAAAUAUCUCGGGCGUCUCCACCCGUUGCCAAUUGGUUUCGGGUCGGAUGCUCGAAUUGCAAUAGAAUAAAAAGUAUAGUUGUUUUUUUUUAUCAUCUUUCAUUGUUUGAGUGGGGAAUAUAAUCUUUAUACAAAUUGCUUCCUGAUGGUGUUUGUAUGGUUCUGUAUUUAUGUGUGUGAUCCUUCAUCCCGACUUUGAAUGCAUAAACUAGCUGGAUGAAGAGGUUUUGUUGUUAUUGCCUUGCCCAAAACAAGGAUUUCAUUGAGGGCUAAAUAGAUUUCUUAUAACUGGGUUCUUAUGUCGUCAGGGAAGGUUAAGAGUUCUUUAUCCUUUUUCGUAUUUCAGUCAAAUGAUGUAUCUUUUGACAUCUGUGCUAAGUGCUUCGUGAUUCCUAUCAGUCAAUUGAUGUAUUUUUCAGUCAGUGAAAUGCUAUUAUGAAUUGGAGUGGUUCCUAUUGUCCUUGAGUGAUUCCUAUCACAACAAUCAGGGAGGAAAUCCCUCUGUGUUUUGUUUUUUUCUUAUAGGUCUAGGAUUAUUCAAAUGAUACAGCACUGAACAAGAGUUAGGACUUCAACUCAGUGUCGCAAAAACUUACUACCAAUAGAAGGUUUGUAAGCACUAAUACUCCGACUCAGAUCCUUACCGAAGUUAUUUUGAAAGUUGAAACGAUAUAGCAGUAGGCCCAAGGUUAUUAGAUGAAAUCAAAAUUUAGUUUAGAGAUUGGAGUGAUGGAUUUAGUAAAUUGAUACAUAUCUUGCCAGUUAGAUUAUGUAUUUGAAGGAUUUUUUUUUUUUUAAAUAAAUCCCUUAUUAAACACGUUUUAACAAUUGGUCUUUGGUUCUAUAUAUUUGAUAAAAAAUUGAGUGCAAAGAGUAACCAGUUUGAUUGAAGUGUGUUAUCACCAUUCUCUUACAUGCUUAAAUGAAUUGCCACUAAGUUCAGACAUGUAAAAUUGUGUAAUCAGACCUCAAGAAGAGAGCUAAAGCAGGGAUUUAAACCAAGAGGACCAAAGCAUAAUCUUGACAGCUCCAAAGGAACAACUUGAGGAAUGUGUGGAUAAACACUUUUGUAUAUAACAAUCUACCAAAUGUUUUCAAUGUAUUAAUGUUUUGCAACAUAAUCUUUUAUAUCUUGCACGCAUAAUCUUUCAUACAAUUUCCAACCCUGUAGCAAUUUGUGGGUACAAAUUUCUAAUGAGAACUAAAACUUAGUUUAUAUGUGAAUCUGCUAGGGUUCCCAUCAGCACGUGUGGCUCGUGUGAAGAGGCUCAGCGCUUCAAGCUAUUCCAGCAGGUCACGGGUUCCAGUCCAGCACGCAGCACAACUUUUGGGAUUUUAUUUUUCAGCGCCUUCUUUGAUGCUCUCGUGUCCCAGGUUCGAUCCCAGGUGUGUCCUCUUCCAUUCCCUUUAUUUUAUUUUUCGUUUUGUAUCAUUUUAUACUUUGUUCUGCUUUGUCUUUUGUUUUAUUUUCUAGUUUUAUUUUUCGUCUUUCUAUUUCUAAUCAAUUAAGGUGGUGUUUUAUUUUUAUUUUGUUGUUUUAGUUUAUUUUUGUUUUUCUUCUACUUUCCACACCUUGAGGAUAAUGUGUGAUUUAAGUUUGAAAGUGGGAAAUAAGAAAUUUUAGAUUUUUAAUUUUUGAGUCAAAUUAAAAAAUUUCAUUCUUUUAAGUUAAUAUCCAUAGUUUAUUUUAAACGUUAGAACAAAUGAACAUAGUGAGGGUUCAUCUCAUAGUAGAGUCUUUUCUAUUUAUUAUUGCUUAGACGCUAAUUCAUGAGUUAUACUUUGAAAUUUGCAUGUUCACUUCAACAUGGUUUGUGGGGAGUGAGAUUGAAACACUUACUUUUAGUUUGAAUGUAUUUUAAUUUUUGUUUUUAGUAAAGUUUAGUAUGUGUUACAAAUAAAGUAAUAAUUGUUUCACCUGAAACUUUGCUUAGUAAUCGGGUCAGUCCUGCCUAAUAAGCAGUGAUUCUCGCGUAAAACGGUUAAGUUUUGGCAUGGGGUAGGGUGGUUAGUUGGUUUUGUAGUCUUUUCAGCUUGAGUUAAUAAGUCGGUGUUCUACAUCUAAUGCCCUAAAGCCUUUGUGGUUUGGGAGUCAUUGACCUAAAGCUUGUUACAUGGGUUGGAUCGAAAGCUUAAGGGAACUGACAUUGCACGACAACUACUGUUACUAGAAGAAAAAAA